rnacentral:rRNA from 1 species
AUGCCUUACGAGGCGUGGUAUGGGAGGAAGCCCGAUGUACGCUUCCUUCGUACCUUUGGCUACAUUGGGCACGUCAAGACGACGCGCCCACAGCUGAAGAAGCUCGACGACAGGAGCACCCCGAUGGUGUUCAUGGGCUACGAGACGGGCUGUAAGGCGUACAAGAUGUACGACCCCGUCUCAAAGCGUGUGCAUGUCUCGCGCGACGUCAUCUUCGAAGAAGAUGCACGAUGGACUUGGGAGACGUCGGGGGAGUCCCCGGCAAGCAGCUCCUUCACUGUGGAGUACCCGAUGUACUCUACAACCCCGGGAAACAAGACCCCGGGAAGUGCCACCCCGGGAAGCUCGGGAGGUGUGGAUCCGGGAACAACAACCCCGAGAACACCGUCCCCGGGUACGGUGUCGUCGGACACCAUGACGUCAAGCAAUGUGGGUCCUGGGAGGUAG